AAACAAAGCUUUGAUGGUGUUGCUGAAGUCCGUAUGAUUCUUUGGCUUUGUAUGUUCUUACAAGGAAACACUACUUAGGCUUUGAAGAUCCGAUUGCGGUUUAAGUUUUUAUACUCAGUCAUACACAUGACAUAUAGU
rnacentral:sRNA from 1 species